rnacentral:misc_RNA from 1 species
AAAAAAAAAAAAAAAAACUGUCAGAAAAUAUCAGUAUAUAGAUGCUAGCAAUAUGCCAAUAUCUCAUAAAAUAAUUUCAAACUGACAAGGACUUGAUCAUAGCAUGUUGCCAAGCCCCCAAGACAGUAAUAGACCCUACUAUAUUUUCCCAGACAUGACAGCCAUGUACAAGAAGUACCACCAUAAAAUGGGAGAGCUCAGAUGGGAGGCAUCCCUCUUUUCAAGAUUCUUCAAUUUAAGAAUUAAGUUUUCUAGAUGAGAAAAAUGUUACCUAGGCUUGACGAGAU